rnacentral:rRNA from 1 species
ACGUAGGUGGCAAGCGUUGUCCGGAAUUAUUGGGCGUAAAGCGCGCGCAGGCGGUCUCUUAAGUCUGAUGUGAAAUCUCGCGGCUCAACCGCGAGCGGUCAUUGGAAACUGGGGGACUUGAGUGCAGAAGAGGAAAGUGGAAUUCCACGUGUAGCGGUGAAAUGCGUAGAGAUGUGGAGGAACACCAGUGGCGAAGGCGACACGCUGGGCCGUACCUGACACUGAUGCGCGACAGCAUGGGGAGCAAACAGGA